rnacentral:rRNA from 1 species
GACGAACGCUGGCGGCGUGCUUAACACAUGCAAGUCGAACGGAAAGGCCCUGCUUUUGUGGGGUGCUCGAGUGGCGAACGGGUGAGUAACACGUGAGUAACCUGCCCUUGACUUUGGGAUAACUUCAGGAAACUGGGGCUAAUACCGGAUAGGAGCUCCUGCUGCAUGGUGGGGGUUGGAAAGUUUCGGCGGUUGGGGAUGGACUCGCGGCUUAUCAGCUUGUUGGUGGGGUAGUGGCUUACCAAGGCUUUGACGGGUAGCCGGCCUGAGAGGGUGACCGGCCACAGUGGGACUGAGAUACGGCCCAGACUCCUACGGGAGGCAGCAGUGGGGAAUAUUGCACAAUGGGCGGAAGCCUGAUGCAGCAACGCCGCGUGCGGGAUGACGGCUUUCGGGUUGUAAACCGCUUUCGCCUGUGACGAAGCGUGAGUGACGGUAAUGGGUAAAGAAGCACCGGCUAACUACGUG